rnacentral:misc_RNA from 1 species
UCAGUUGGCUCUCGCAAAAGAGGUGAAGAAGAAAACGAAGAACAAAAAAAAGAGUAAGAAAGCUACCAAAACGUCCUUACGUCAUACAUCUCUCUUUCAAUUCUAUUCUCAUUAGGAUACGGUAGCACGAUUGCUACGAAUUUGGUCCAUUGAAGGGAUGUUAUAGUUUUGCUGAUUCGUGGUAGAGCAAUAUCGAGAGAGAGAGAGAGAGAGAGAGAGAGAGAGAGGAGGGUUUUGGAAGAAGGUGGGGAUGGGUUCGAAGAAAGCGGAAAGUACAUCAGCUCCAGUUAUUCGACGAGACCCGUAUGAGGUAUUAUCAGUAUCGAGAGAUUCUAAUGAUCAGGAGAUUAAAACUGCUUAUAGGAAACUAGCUCUCAAGUAUCAUCCAGACAAGAAUGCAAGUAACCCUGAAGCUUCUGAACUUUUCAAAGAGGUUGCAUAUUCCUACAGCAUCUUAUCUGACCCAGAAAAGAGAAGGCAGUAUGAUAGUGCAGGGUUUGAGGCUCUUGAUGCUGAAAGCGUGGAUAUGGAAAUUGAUUUGUCUAAUCUGGGUACUGUCAACACAGUAUUUGCUGCAUUAUUCAGCAAGCU